rnacentral:rRNA from 1 species
CCCAGACUCCUACGGGAGGCAGCAGUGGGGGAUAUUGCACAAUGGGGGAAACCCUGAUGCAGCGACGCCGCGUGGGUGAAGAAGUAUUUCGGUAUGUAAAGCCCUCUCAGCAGGGAAGAAAGAAGACGGUACCUGACUAAGAAGCCCCGGCUAACUACGUGCCAGCAGCCGCGGUAAUACGUAGGGGGCGAGCGUUAUCCGGAUUCACUGGGUGUAAAGGGAGCGUAGACGGCCGUGCAAGCCAGGAGUGAAAGCCCGGGGCCCAACCCCGGGACUGCUCUUGGAACUGUGCGGCUGGAGUGCGGGAGGGGCAGGCGGAAUUCCUGGUGUAGCGGUGAAAUGCGUAGAUAUCAGGAGGAACACCGGCGGCGAAGGCGGCCUGCUGGACCGCGACUGACGUUGAGGCUCGAAAGCGUGGGGAGCAAACAGGAUUAGAUACCCGUGUA